GACGAACGCUGGCGGCGUGCUUAACACAUGCAAGUCGAACGGAAAGGCCCUGCUUUUGUGGGGUGCUCGAGUGGCGAACGGGUGAGUAACACGUGAGUAACCUGCCCUUGACUUUGGGAUAACUUCAGGAAACUGGGGCUAAUACCGGAUAGGAGCUCCUGCCGCAUGGUGGGGAUUGGAAAGUUUCGGCGGUUGGGGAUGGACUCGCGGCUUAUCAGCUUGUUGGUGGGGUAGUGGCUUACCAAGGCUUUGACGGGUAGCCGGCCUGAGAGGGUGACCGGCCACAUUGGGACUGAGAUACGGCCCAGACUCCUACGGGAGGCAGCAGUGGGGAAUAUUGCACAAUGGGCGGAAGCCUGAUGCAGCAACGCCGCGUGCGGGAUGACGGCCUUCGGGUUGUAAACCGCUUUCGCCUGUGACGAAGCGUGAGUGACGGUAAUGGGUAAAGAAGCACCGGCUAACUACGUGCCAGCAGCCGCGGUGAUACGUAGGGUGCGAGCGUUGUCCGGAUUUAUUGGGCGUAAAGGGCUCGUAGGUGGUUGAUCGCGUCGGAAGUGUAAUCUUGGGGCUUAACCCUGAGCGUGCUUUCGAUACGGGUUGACUUGAGGAAGGUAGGGGAGAAUGGAAUUCCUGGUGGAGCGGUGGAAUGCGCAGAUAUCAGGAGGAACACCAGUGGCGAAGGCGGUUCUCUGGGCCUUUCCUGACGCUGAGGAGCGAAAGCGUGGGGAGCGAACAGGCUUAGAUACCCUGGUAGUCCACGCUGUAAACGGUGGGUACUAGGUGUGGGGUCCAUUCCACGGGUUCCGUGCCGUAGCUAACGCUUUAAGUACCCCGCCUGGGGAGUACGGCCGCAAGGCUAAAACUCAAAGGAAUUGACGGGGCCCCGCACAAGCGGCGGAGCAUGCGGAUUAAUUCGAUGCAACGCGUAGAACCUUACCUGGGUUUGACAUGGAUCGGGAGUGCUCAGAGAUGGGUGUGCCUCUUUUGGGGUCGGUUCACAGGUGGUGCAUGGCUGUCGUCAGCUCGUGUCGUGAGAUGUUGGGUUAAGUCCCGCAACGAGCGCAACCCUUGUUCACUGUUGCCAGCACGUUAUGGUGGGGACUCAGUGGAGACCGCCGGGGUCAACUCGGAGGAAGGUGGGGAUGACGUCAAGUCAUCAUGCCCCUUAUGUCCAGGGCUUCACGCAUGCUACAAUGGCUGGUACAGAGAGUGGCGAGCCUGUGAGGGUGAGCGAAUCUCGGAAAGCCGGUCUCAGUUCGGAUUGGGGUCUGCAACUCGACCUCAUGAAGUCGGAGUCGCUAGUAAUCGCAGAUCAGCAACGCUGCGGUGAAUACGUUCCCGGGGCU
rnacentral:rRNA from 1 species